rnacentral:lncRNA from 1 species
CCCCACCUUCGCCUCUGUCAAAACCCAGCCUAGCCUCCCCAUCGCUAACUGGCACCACCAGGCACUAGCACAAUACAUGUAAUAAAUAGCACCAACUUAGAAAGCAAUUUUUCUCAAUGCCUGGCUUUCAAAAGGCCUUAAUAACCAUGCUAUUAAUUUUUUUUGUUUUUCUAAUGGGAGGGAAAUCCAGAGAAGGGAAGUUCUGAAAGGAAAGAAUGCUUUUGUGUGAGGGAGAAAGCAUUGAAAUUACCUGAACAAUCAAAGCUGCCUUUAUUUUAACAUGCCACCACUACAGAAGGAGGGGAAUAUUCCAGAGCCUCCUCCCUUCUCUCUCUCCCACACACACAAUUCAUGCUCAUUUACCACAUGGGGGGUUUCGAAGAAAACAGUGGCAAGACAAUGGAGGCCAGAACAGACGCACUGUUAAGCCCAGCUGCACUUGCCUGUCAUGAGUCAGGCUUCCGAGAAAGUGGCAGAAAGAGGCGGGCAGAUUUUGUGUUUUGACUUCCAGUUCCAUUUGAACUCUGUAAGCACUGGUGCCUUUUUAGGCUCAGUAACCAGGGUAAGGAAAAAGAGAUUGUUGUUUGUUACAAUUUUAAUAAAUUUUGCCUCAAAUAAAAUGUGUUGAUGUGACUCUACCACAUAUGAUAUACAGUAUAUCUUUAUGAUGCCGUGUGACUGUGUAGGAGAGGUAAGCUGCCCCCUUAGGGCAGGAGGCCACACUGCCUGCCAGCACUUCUGAAAUUCACAUGUGGCCAUCAUGACUUUCACCACAAUUGAAGUCAAGAUUUGGCAACAAGUGUAGACACUCUCUAUGGUACAGGAGGGCAGUUGGGGACGGAGGCAGCCCACAUGCUGAAUUUGACCCAAUGUAACCUGCUUGUUGCCAAAAGUCUAAGAGGAAAAAUGAAAAAUGAUGCUGGACAGUAUGGUGUCAGCAAAUAUGCUUUAUUAAAUGACAGCUGUAACAUGUAGCACUGGCCGUGAGUGAUAGAUUUCAGAAAUUUUACUAUCUCUCUGUGAAAAUUCAUAAUUUCAGAAGGGAUUAUGGGGAAUGUGCAAUACAGCAGAAUUAUACAAAUGCUGCUGGAUAGCUUAUAAAAUUUUAUCUGCUCAAAACAGAACAAAUAUCCCACCCCAACCCGUAGUAUCCAUCAGCCAGUGGGAAAGGAAAGGAGAUAAAGGCAGGAAGAUCUAGACCAUAUGAAUGAACAAAAUUCAACACAGUGGCAUGAUUUUCCUCUUUUUUUCGAUUCUCAUUCUAGGAAAUGUAACAACCAAAUCUCAGAUGACUUCAACUGCUUGAAUAAAAAUAACCCAUUUGUUCCCUAAUGUAAAUAU